GUUGAUCUUCCCCAAGAGCUCACAUCGAUGGGAAGGUUUGAC
rnacentral:rRNA from 1 species